AGCGUGAUGGCAUUGCUGGGAUCUUUGGCACUAUGCAGUGUCGUCCUAUUCUGGCAUUGUUGUAGCUUCCAAUGCCAAAAUUUGGCACAAUUCCUUCCAGGAUCUUCCAGAUAUAUAUUACUGCAUACCUCUCCAGUCUUAGCUCCAGGGAGUACAGUGUUAGCUAUUUCAGCCUUUCCCAGUAGUUGAGCUGUUGCAACGAGACGAUCUUCUUCAUGAAGCUUCGCUGGAUUGCUUCAAGUUCCGCUGUUAAUUUUACACUGUUGGGUGACCAUAGCUGGGAGCAGUAACCCACGCGGCUGAAGACGAAUGUCUUCCAGAGAACCAUC